GCAGCUGUAGCUCAGUUGGUAGAGCAUGGUGUUUGCAAUGCCAGGGUUGUGGGUUUGAUUCCCACGGGGGGCC
rfam:Salmo salar isolate Sally breed double haploid chromosome ssa01, whole genome shotgun sequence.